GGUUAAGCGACUAAGCGUACACGGUGGAUGCCCUGGCAGUCAGAGGCGAUGAAGGACGUGCUAAUCUGCGAUAAGCGUCGGUAAGGUGAUAUGAACCGUUAUAACCGGCGAUUUCCGAAUGGGGAAACCCAGUGUGUUUCGACACACUAUCAUUAACUGAAUCCAUAGGUUAAUGAGGCGAACCGGGGGAACUGAAACAUCUAAGUACCCCGAGGAAAAGAAAUCAACCGAGAUUCCCCCAGUAGCGGCGAGCGAACGGGGAGGAGCCCAGAGCCUGAAUCAGUGUGUGUGUUAGUGGAAGCGUCUGGAAAGGCGCGCGAUACAGGGUGACAGCCCCGUACACAAAAAUGCACAUGCUGUGAGCUCGAUGAGUAGGGCGGGACACGUGGUAUCCUGUCUGAAUAUGGGGGGACCAUCCUCCAAGGCUAAAUACUCCUGACUGACCGAUAGUGAACCAGUACCGUGAGGGAAAGGCGAAAAGAACCCCGGCGAGGGGAGUGAAAAAGAACCUGAAACCGUGUACGUACAAGCAGUGGGAGCAUGCUUAGGCGUGUGACUGCGUACCUUUUGUAUAAUGGGUCAGCGACUUAUAUUCUGUAGCAAGGUUAACCGAAUAGGGGAGCCGAAGGGAAACCGAGUCUUAACUGGGCGUUAAGUUGCAGGGUAUAGACCCGAAACCCGGUGAUCUAGCCAUGGGCAGGUUGAAGGUUGGGUAACACUAACUGGAGGACCGAACCGACUAAUGUUGAAAAAUUAGCGGAUGACUUGUGGCUGGGGGUGAAAGGCCAAUCAAACCGGGAGAUAGCUGGUUCUCCCCGAAAGCUAUUUAGGUAGCGCCUCGUGAACUCAUCUCCGGGGGUAGAGCACUGUUUCGGCAAGGGGGUCAUCCCGACUUACCAACCCGAUGCAAACUGCGAAUACCGGAGAAUGUUAUCACGGGAGACACACGGCGGGUGCUAACGUCCGUCGUGAAGAGGGAAACAACCCAGACCGCCAGCUAAGGUCCCAAAGUCAUGGUUAAGUGGGAAACGAUGUGGGAAGGCCCAGACAGCCAGGAUGUUGGCUUAGAAGCAGCCAUCAUUUAAAGAAAGCGUAAUAGCUCACUGGUCGAGUCGGCCUGCGCGGAAGAUGUAACGGGGCUAAACCAUGCACCGAAGCUGCGGCAGCGACGCUUAUGCGUUGUUGGGUAGGGGAGCGUUCUGUAAGCCUGCGAAGGUGUGCUGUGAGG
rnacentral:rRNA from 1 species